rnacentral:rRNA from 1 species
UCUUGCGCAAUGGGCGAAAGCCUGACGCAGCGACGCCGCGUGCAGGACGAAGUCCUUCGGGAUGUAAACUGCUUUUGCCAGGAAAGAUUAUGACGGUACCUGGUGAAUAAGCCCCGGCUAACUACGUGCCAGCAGCCGCGGUAAGACGUAGGGGGCGAGCGUUGUCCGGAUUCACUGGGCGUAAAGAGCGCGUAGGCGGCCUGUUAAGUCAGGAGUGAAAUCUCCAGGGCUCAACCCGGAAAUUGCUUCUGAUACUGGCAGGCUAGAGGGUCAGAGAGGUGAUUGGAAUUCCCGGUGUAGCGGUGACAUGCAUUGAUAUCGGGAGGAACACCCGUGGCGAAGGCGGAUCACUGGCUGACUCCUGACGCUGAGGCGCGAAAGCGUGGGGAGCGAACAG